GUUUACAAGUCCUUCUGUGCAGAGCUGAAGGCUCUCCUGUUCCAGGACUCAUCUGAGUCUAUGCUGCUAUAGCCCAGAAGAUGAAGAUCUUGGAAUUCCAAAUAGGACCUCUUUAAAUUCUAAAAAACCCUACACCCACCCAGAUCAUCUGUCACCAGGACUGUUGGCAUGUGAUGACAUGAAGAAUAAAGAGGAAAACUCAUUGUUCACUCAUUUUCCAUUGCCAAGAUAUAUUAAUAUGCCAAGACAAUUGCCCAUAGGCAAUUUCAUCUGCAGUUGAGCUACUUGA
rnacentral:lncRNA from 1 species